rnacentral:rRNA from 1 species
AUUGAACGCUGGCGGCAGGCCUAACACAUGCAAGUCGAGCGGAGCGGCGGACGGGUGAGUAAUGCCUAGGAAUCUACCUGGUAGUGGGGGAUAACGUCAGGAAACGGGAGCUAAUCCCGCAUCCUAUCAGCUGAGCCUAGGUCGGAUUCGCUGGUUGGUGGGGUAAAGGCCUACAAAGGCGACGAUCAGUAACGGGUCUGAGAGGAUGACCAGUCACACUGGAACUGGGACACGGUCCAGACUCCUACGGGAGGCAGCAGUGGGGAAUAUUGGACAAUGGGCGAAAGCCUGAUCCAGCCAGGCCGCGUGUGUGAAGAGGGUCUUCGGAUUGUAAAGCACUUUAAGUUGGGAGGCGUUACCAACAGAAUAAGCACCGGCUAACUUCGUGCCAGCCGCCGCGGUAAUUC